rnacentral:rRNA from 1 species
GGGUUGUGAGGUUAAGCGACUAAGCGUACACGGUGGAUGCCCUGGCAGUCAGAGGCGAUGAAGGACGUGCUAAUCUGCGAUAAGCGUCGGUAAGGUGAUAUGAACCGUUAUAACCGGCGAUUUCCGAAUGGGGAAACCCAGUGUGAUUCGUCACACUAUCAUUAACUGAAUCCAUAGGUUAAUGAGGCGAACCGGGGGAACUGAAACAUCUAAGUACCCCGAGGAAAAGAAAUCAACCGAGAUUCCCCCAGUAGCGGCGAGCGAACGGGGAGCAGCCCAGAGCCUGAAUCAGUGUGUGUGUUAGUGGAAGCGUCUGGAAAGGCGCGCGAUACAGGGUGACAGCCCCGUACACAAAAAUGCACAUGCUGUGAGCUCGAUGAGUAGGGCGGGACACGUGGUAUCCUGUCUGAAUAUGGGGGGACCAUCCUCCAAGGCUAAAUACUCCUGACUGACCGAUAGUGAACCAGUACCGUGAGGGAAAGGCGAAAAGAACCCCGGCGAGGGGAGUGAAAAAGAACCUGAAACCGUGUACGUACAAGCAGUGGGAGCACGCUUAGGCGUGUGACUGCGUACCUUUUGUAUAAUGGGUCAGCGACUUAUAUUCUGUAGCAAGGUUAACCGAAUAGGGGAGCCGAAGGGAAACCGAGUCUUAACUGGGCGUUAAGUUGCAGGGUAUAGACCCGAAACCCGGUGAUCUAGCCAUGGGCAGGUUGAAGGUUGGGUAACACUAACUGGAGGACCGAACCGACUAAUGUUGAAAAAUUAGCGGAUGACUUGUGGCUGGGGGUGAAAGGCCAAUCAAACCGGGAGAUAGCUGGUUCUCCCCGAAAGCUAUUUAGGUAGCGCCUCGUGAAUUCAUCUCCGGGGGUAGAGCACUGUUUCGGCAAGGGGGUCAUCCCGACUUACCAACCCGAUGCAAACUGCGAAUACCGGAGAAUGUUAUCACGGGAGACACACGGCGGGUGCUAACGUCCGUCGUGAAGAGGGAAACAACCCAGACCGCCAGCUAAGGUCCCAAAGUCAUGGUUAAGUGGGAAACGAUGUGGGAAGGCCCAGACAGCCAGGAUGUUGGCUUAGAAGCAGCCAUCAUUUAAAGAAAGCGUAAUAGCUCACUGGUCGAGUCGGCCUGCGCGGAAGAUGUAACGGGGCUAAACCAUGCACCGAAGCUGCGGCAGCGACGCUGAUGCGUUGUUGGGUAGGGGAGCGUUCUGUAAGCCUGCGAAGGUGUGCUGUGAGGCAUGCUGGAGGUAUCAGAAGUGCGAAUGCUGACAUAAGUAACGAUAAAGCGGGUGAAAAGCCCGCUCGCCGGAAGACCAAGGGUUCCUGUCCAACGUUAAUCGGGGCAGGGUGAGUCGACCCCUAAGGCGAGGCCGAAAGGCGUAGUCGAUGGGAAACAGGUUAAUAUUCCUGUACUUGGUGUUACUGCGAAGGGGGGACGGAGAAGGCUAUGUUGGCCGGGCGACGGUUGUCCCGGUUUAAGCGUGUAGGCUGGUUUUCCAGGCAAAUCCGGAAAAUCAAGGCUGAGGCGUGAUGACGAGGCACUACGGUGCUGAAGCAACAAAUGCCCUGCUUCCAGGAAAAGCCUCUAAGCAUCAGGUAACAUCAAAUCGUACCCCAAACCGACACAGGUGGUCAGGUAGAGAAUACCAAGGCGCUUGAGAGAACUCGGGUGAAGGAACUAGGCAAAAUGGUGCCGUAACUUCGGGAGAAGGCACGCUGAUAUGUAGGUGAAGUCCCUCGCGGAUGGAGCAGAAAUCAGUCGAAGAUACCAGCUGGCUGCAACUGUUUAUUAAAAACACAGCACUGUGCAAACACGAAAGUGGACGUAUACGGUGUGACGCCUGCCCGGUGCCGGAAGGUUAAUUGAUGGGGUUAGCGCAAGCGAAGCUCUUGAUCGAAGCCCCGGUAAACGGCGGCCGUAACUAUAACGGUCCUAAGGUAGCGAAAUUCCUUGUCGGGUAAGUUCCGACCUGCACGAAUGGCGUAAUGAUGGCCAGGCUGUCUCCACCCGAGACUCAGUGAAAUUGAACUCGCUGUGAAGAUGCAGUGUACCCGCGGCAAGACGGAAAGACCCCGUGAACCUUUACUAUAGCUUGACACUGAACAUUGAGCCUUGAUGUGUAGGAUAGGUGGGAGGCUUUGAAGUGUGGACGCCAGUCUGCAUGGAGCCGACCUUGAAAUACCACCCUUUAAUGUUUGAUGUUCUAACGUUGACCCGUAAUCCGGGUUGCGGACAGUGUCUGGUGGGUAGUUUGACUGGGGCGGUCUCCUCCUAAAGAGUAACGGAGGAGCACGAAGGUUGGCUAAUCCUGGUCGGACAUCAGGAGGUUAGUGCAAUGGCAUAAGCCAGCUUGACUGCGAGCGUGACGGCGCGAGCAGGUGCGAAAGCAGGUCAUAGUGAUCCGGUGGUUCUGAAUGGAAGGGCCAUCGCUCAACGGAUAAAAGGUACUCCGGGGAUAACAGGCUGAUACCGCCCAAGAGUUCAUAUCGACGGCGGUGUUUGGCACCUCGAUGUCGGCUCAUCACAUCCUGGGGCUGAAGUAGGUCCCAAGGGUAUGGCUGUUCGCCAUUUAAAGUGGUACGCGAGCUGGGUUUAGAACGUCGUGAGACAGUUCGGUCCCUAUCUGCCGUGGGCGCUGGAGAAUUGAGGGGGGCUGCUCCUAGUACGAGAGGACCGGAGUGGACGCAUCACUGGUGUUCGGGUUGUCAUGCCAAUGGCACUGCCCGGUAGCUAAAUGCGGAAGAGAUAAGUGCUGAAAGCAUCUAAGCACGAAACUUGCCCCGAGAUGAGUUCUCCCUGACUCCUUGAGAGUCCUGAAGGAACGUUGAAGACGACGACGUUGAUAGGCCGGGUGUGUAAGCGCAGCGAUGCGUUGAGCUAACCGGUACUAAUGAACCGUGAGGCUUAACCUUACAACGCCGAAG